CUACGGGGUGCACCAGUGGGGAAUAUUGCACAAUGGAGGAGACUCUGAUGCAGCAACGCCGCGUGGAGGAUGACACUUUUCGGAGCGUAAACUCCUUUUAUAUAGGAAGAAGAUGACGGUACUAUAUGAAUAAGCGCCGGCUAACUCCGUGCCAGCAGCCGCGGUAAUACGGAGGGCGCAAGCGUUACUCGGAAUCACUGGGCGUAAAGAGCGUGUAGGCGGAUUAAAAAGUCAGAAGUGAAAUCCUAUAGCUUAACUAUAGAACUGCUUCUGAAACUCUUAAUCUAGAAUAUGGGAGAGGUAGAUGGAUUUCUGGUGUAGGGGUAAAAUCCGUAGAGAUCAGAAGGAAUACCGAUUGCGAAGGCGAACUACUAGAACAUUAUUGACGCUGAGACGCGAAAGCGUGGGGAGCAAACAGGAUUAGAUACCCCGGUAGUC
rnacentral:rRNA from 1 species